rnacentral:rRNA from 1 species
CAGCCGCCACGGUAAUACGAAGGUCCCGAGCGUUGUUCGGAAUCACUGGGCGUAAAGCGUGCGCAGGCGGUUUGUUAAGACAGAUGUGAAAUCCCCGGGCUCAACCUGGGAACUGCAUUUGUGACUGGCAAGCUAGAGUGUGGCAGAGGGGGGUGGAAUUCCGCGUGUAGCAGUGAAAUGCGUAGAUAUGCGGAGGAACACCGAUGGCGAAGGCAGCCCCCUGGGCCAACACUGACGCUCAUGCACGAAAGCGUGGGGAGCAAACAGGAUUAGAUACCCCCGUAGUCCCUGUCUCUUAUAC